UUAAAUUGAAGAGUUUGAUCAUGGCUCAGAUUGAACGCUGGCGGCAGGCCUAACACAUGCAAGUCGAACGGUAACAGGAAACAGCUUGCUGUUUCGCUGACGAGUGGCGGACGGGUGAGUAAUGUCUGGGAAACUGCCUGAUGGAGGGGGAUAACUACUGG
rnacentral:rRNA from 2 species